UGCAAGUCGAACGGUGAACCAGGAGCUUGCUCUUGGGGAUCAGUGGCGAACGGGUGAGUAACACGUGAGCAACCUGCCCCUGACUCUGGGAUAAGCGCUGGAAACGGCGUCUAAUACUGGAUACGAACCACGAAGGCAUCUUCAGUGGUUGGAAAGAUUUUUUGGUUGGGGAUGGGCUCGCGGCCUAUCAGCUUGUUGGUGAGGUAAUGGCUCACCAAGGCGUCGACGGGUAGCCGGCCUGAGAGGGUGACCGGCCACACUGGGACUGAGACACGGCCCAGACUCCUACGGGAGGCAGCAGUGGGGAAUAUUGCACAAUGGGCGGAAGCCUGAUGCAGCAACGCCGCGUGAGGGAUGACGGCCUUCGGGUUGUAAACCUCUUUUAGCAGGGAAGAAGCGAAAGUGACGGUACCUGCAGAAAAAGCGCCGGCUAACUACGUGCCAGCAGCCGCGGUAAUACGUAGGGCGCAAGCGUUAUCCGGAAUUAUUGGGCGUAAAGAGCUCGUAGGCGGUUUGUCGCGUCUGCUGUGAAAUCCCGAGGCUCAACCUCGGGCCUGCAGUGGGUACGGGCAGACUAGAGUGCGGUAGGGGAGAUUGGAAUUCCUGGUGUAGCGGUGGAAUGCGCAGAUAUCAGGAGGAACACCGAUGGCGAAGGCAGAUCUCUGGGCCGUAACUGACGCUGAGGAGCGAAAGGGUGGGGAGCAAACAGGCUUAGAUACCCUGGUAGUCCACCCCGUAAACGUUGGGAACUAGUUGUGGGGUCCAUUCCACGGAUUCCGUGACGCAGCUAACGCAUUAAGUUCCCCGCCUGGGGAGUACGGCCGCAAGGCUAAAACUCAAAGGAAUUGACGGGGACCCGCACAAGCGGCGGAGCAUGCGGAUUAAUUCGAUGCAACGCGAAGAACCUUACCAAGGCUUGACAUAUACGAGAACGGGCCAGAAAUGGUCAACUCUUUGGACACUCGUAAACAGGUGG
rnacentral:rRNA from 1 species